AUAUCAUGAUGUGGACACUUCCUAAGAAAAUCAUUCAAUCUCUCCCACACUUCAUGUAGGAGUUCUCCAUCCCUGUGUGAGAAUUCACAAAUAGAGGUUUUGUAAU